rnacentral:rRNA from 1 species
GACGUAGGGCGCGAGCGUUGUCCGGAUUUAUUGGGCGUAAAGAGCUCGUAGGCGGCUUGUCGCGUCGACCGUGAAAACUUGGGGCUCAACCCUAAGCCUGCGGUCGAUACGGGCAGGCUCGAGUUCGGUAGGGGAGACUGGAAUUCCUGGUGUAGCGGUGAAAUGCGCAGAUAUCAGGAGGAACACCGGUGGCGAAGGCGGGUCUCUGGGCCAAUACUGACGCUCAUGCACGAAAGCGUGGGGAGCAAACAGG